AGAACUACAUACACACAGCAAACUGCACCUGUAUGGCUGGGUAAGUAUUAUUUUUGUGCUGAUUACACUUUCUUUGCUGUAACAAAAAUUAUCAUGUAUCAUUGUUCAGAUAACUUUUAUUUAUUAAAUUAAAUA